AUAUUCUAAAUAAUAUAUCUGAUGAGUUAAUAUUUUUAAUCCUAAGUUACUUAGUGAGUAGUUUCAAGUCAUGCACUAGUGGUUAUCUUCAUGGAUCAAUGAGUUAGGUUUGUUAUAACCUCUUAGGUUUUACAAGUUUGGGGCAUGACAAGUCUCUCUUCUUUAUAAUGAUUGGUUCAUUUAGUCACGUGUCUUUUUUUUGGAGGGAAAUUCUAUUGUCUUGUUUAAAAUUUGCUUAUAUCUUGAACUGAGGGGUGCUGAUAUAGUUUGUACUCAUAUUUAAUGGACAUCUUUAAUUUAAAAAAAAGGGAUAUUGAACCAGAUUGUUCCAAGAUUGUACAUGAUGUAAUACCACAUCCAGGGUCCCCACAGUUUUGUGUAUACAGGACAAUUGUACCUCAAACAUGGACAGUAAUAGCAAUUGAAUCAAAUGAAGAAAAUGAGACUUAAAAUCAUAGAAACUUAAAGAAAAGAAAAAUAAAGAUUUAUUUGCCAAUGGAUGAAGUUGCUUAUCUUAAAGGAUCAACAAUUAUAUUUGAAACAGUAUGUUGAGAGAAGUUCAGAACAAGCUAUUUUGUUUGAGGAGGAGUUGUCAGCACUUCAUCAUUGAAUAAAGUCAAUUGUAUUAGAAGUGAAGCUAUUAUAAAACAGAAAUGAGACAAUUAUCAAAUAAUUCAAAGACUACAUGGAUGUUAUCUGGACUAACAUUUGUAUGACCCAAAUGUGGUAUUUUUCAUAUGAAGACUUACAAGGCAAAUAAUUGGCUGUGGCAAACAUGUGUAUGCAUUUAACAUGUUUAAAGACUUGAAGAACUUGUACUGCCUUCUUCAGAUUUCAAUAGAAUUUGUUUAAGACAGUAAAUUCUGAGUAUGAA